AUGGGGAUGUUCUCCUGGAGAGCCCAGUGGACAUCUCCACCCGUAUCUACUCCUUCUACAAGGAGUUGUUUUUCGCUGAGCCGCAUGGAGGUGUAUCCCUCUGCGCUGACUUCUGGCCGCUUGCAGAUCAGGUCUCCGAUGUGGAGAAUGCGGAGCUUACUCUCCCCUUUUCUCCUGAGGAGGUGGGACGGGCGAUUGCUUCUAUGA
rnacentral:rRNA from 1 species